GAUCCUGGCUCAGGAUGAACGCUGGCGGCGUGCUUAACACAUGCAAGUCGAGCGGGAAAUACUUUAUUGAAACUUCGGUCGAUUUAAUUUAUUUCUAGUGGCGGACGGGUGAGUAACGCGUGGGUAACCUGCCUUAUACCGGGGGAUAACAGCCAGAAAUGGCUGCUAAUACCGCAUAAGCGCACAGAACCGCAUGGUUCCGUGUGAAAAACUCCGGUGGUAUAAGAUGGACCCGCGUUGGAUUAGCUAGUUGG
rnacentral:rRNA from 1 species